UUGACCCCUAGCCUGGGAACCUCCAUGUGCUGCGGCUGUGGCCCUAAAAAGCAAAAUAAAAUUUAAGUAAAAAGGGAGGAACUUGACAUAAUGAAAACUAGUAUUACUCAGUGAUGGAAAAGGUUAGGCAAAACAGUUCCAGUGUUGCUGAGGAAUGGAAUUAUCUCACACCUUUCUUUCUUUAUCAGACUCAUGCGAAAGUGGGGUGAACAAGUAGGAAAACUUAAACAACGAAGUAUUUGCCCAGUCUUUUCCAAGAGUAAAAAGGUUGUUGAAGGUGAAUGACACUGAUGUCAACAUGAUUUUUAGAUCAACACAAGGUACCAUAACAGAUUAAUUUCUAGGUUUUCCAUUUAGUGGAAAUGACAAUAGAUCAUCCAUAAAUAUAAUUCUUAGUAGAGCUUAUAAAAGCAUAGCUGUGUACCCUUAGCAAAUGGUUCCUAUUAGGCAUAACAGAACAAAGCAGUUCUUAAAAUUUAAGUUGGGUAUGUGGCCUCUUUACGUGAUGGGACAUGAGUGAAGAGAUUUCAAACUGCCUGUUUUCUCUGUAAAGGAGAAGUGGCCGAGUCCUAGAAUCCCUGUGCAUAGCCUAUGUUCUUCUAGGUUCUUUAGAAUGUAACUGGUUCUUAAUGCUGGGGACGCCGGGAAGCUUUUAAAAGCACGGAUGCCACAGCCCCACCCCAUACCGGCUGAAUCGGGAUCUAGAGGUGAGUCUAAGUAUUGAAUGGGGGCUUGGCCCAGAAUACCACUUAAUGUAGCAAGAUACAAUCUUGGGCUUCUCUGAAAUAAGUAGAGGUUAAGUCUGGAGUUUCUGGGGGUGGGGGAUCCAGUGUUGUGGGUGAAGCCGUGCAGGCUUCUGUCCUCUCAGCCAUGACAUCAACAUGUAAAUCAUUUAGCUAAAUGAAUUCCUGUGGUACCUAACUAAAUGUCUAAUUCGAUGAUUAAGUGGAGAAAGAUUUAAGAUAAAACAUCCUGAAGUUUUAAAAUGCGAUAACCGUGUAGUUCAUUUUUCAGCAAUGAGGAUGCGCUUUCUCCUGCAUCCACCCACGACUAGCAAAUCGUAUUUGCAGAGGAGUGAACCAAGGAUGAUGAUGCUAACACGGGACUAGGAAGGAGCACUUUUCUGUAUAUACCUUAAGCAGCUCUUGUGCAUCAGAAAUUCAUUCAGCCUUGGUCCAGGCUCGCAUGUGCCAGCUUUAAACAGCUAAUUGACCCAGUCGACAAAUGGAAAUUGAAACCUACAAACUAAAUAAGCCAAUCCCAGUUUUCCAUUUCAGAAGGUAUAAAAACUUUUGGCGAGGGGAAGACAAAAAUAAUUUGAACAUCCACUGCCAAAUGUGCACCAUUCUUUCAGGCUCGUCUGUUUAGAGCAGUUCUAAGCAGGGGGCAGAACCUGUGUUUAAUACUGGUCUGGUCUGUGCUUUUGACACUUCCAGUUGCCAAGCUCGUCCAGGAGGUGGUCAUUCUGAGGGGCUGCUCUUCUGCAGAUCCGGAUAAAGUCUCAGUGCCCCCAAGGUCCAUCCUCUCUGACCACUGGACAGUUUGGGCAAUUCAUAGUUUUCAGGCAGAAUAAGGAAGGUGGCUCGUUAUUUUACCAGUUUUUUUUUUGCCAGCUCAGCUUUGGGGAAAUCCAUCUACCUCUGCAUGGAAUUCAUAAAAUACGUCAGACAAUUGUGUUUGAAACCUACAGAUUCAAAACAUCUUCCUGGCAUCACUAAGACUUUAAAGAAUGAGGAAGAGCUUUUCUUACAUUGUUUUCCAUCAAGAGCAAACUUAAAUACCUUUCAUUUUAUGUUGACUUGGGGGGAAAAAAUGUUUCUUGAUGUUAGGACUUUCACCAGUGACAUUAUAAUCCAAACAGAGCAGAGGACAAAACCUUCUGAGCCGCAGAAACUGGUACCACUGAAAAUCACUGACGCUUAGUGAUUCUGUUCACUGAAAUGAAGGGAUAUGGCACAGAUAGAUGAGUGCGUGCUUCUUAUAAUCCUGCAUUUAUAACAUGAAGGUUAACUUAAAAAAUUGCAACGAUGGAACACAAAAUUUUCCGUUUUUUUUAAUACCAUAGGCUAAUUAAAGAUUGCAAGGAGAAUAGUAGUUUCCACGUGAAAUGCAUUAAAUUGAAGAUACCAGUA